UUGAACGCUGGCGGCAGGCCUAACACCUGCAAGUCGAGCGGAUGAAGGGAGCUUGCUCCUGGAUUCAGCGGCGGACGGGUGAGUAAUGCCUAGGAAUCUGCCUGGUAGUGGGGGAUAACGUCCGGAAACGGGCGCUAAUACCGCAUACGUCCUGAGGGAGAAAGUGGGGGAUCUUCGGACCUCACGCUAUCAGAUGAGCCUAGGUCGGAUUAGCUAGUUGGUGGGGUAAAGGCCUACCAAGGCGACGAUCCGUAACUGGUCUGAGAGGAUGAUCAGUCACACUGGAACUGAGACACGGUCCAGACUCCUACGGGAGGGCGCAGUGGGGAAUAUUGGACAAUGGGCGAAAGCCUGAUCCAGCCAUGCCGCGUGUGUGAAGAAGGUCUUCGGAUUGUAAAGCACUUUAAGUUGGGAGGAAGGGCAGUAAGUUAAUACCUUGCUGUUUUGACGUUACCAACAGAAUAAGCACCGGCUAACUUCGUG
rnacentral:rRNA from 1 species